CCUACGGGAGGCAGCAGUGGGGAAUAUUGCACAAUGGGGGAAACCCUGAUGCAGCAACGCCGCGUGAAGGCAGACUGUUUUCGGAGUGUAAACUUCUGUUUUUAGUGAAGAAGAGUGACGUUAGCUAAGGAGCACGCCACUGCUAACUACGUGCCAGCAGCCGCGGUAAUACGUAGGUGGCAAGCGUUUUCCGUAAUUACUGGGUGUAACGGGAUCGCAGGCGGGAAGCCAAGUCAGCUGUGAAAACUACGGGCUUAACUUGUAGACUGCAGUUGAAACUGGUUUUCUUGAGUGAAGUUGAGGUUGGCGGAAUUCCGAGUGUAGCGGUGAAAUGCGUAGAUAUUAGGAGGAACACCGGUGGCGAAGGCAGCCAACUGGGCUUUAACUGACGCUGAGGCUCGAAAGUGUGGGGAGCAAACAGGAUUAGAUACCCGUGUAGUC
rnacentral:rRNA from 1 species